rnacentral:rRNA from 1 species
GAUGAACGCUGACAGAAUGCUUAACACAUGCAAGUCAACUUGAAUUUGGGUUUUUAACUUAGGUUUGGGUGGCGGACGGGUGAGUAACGCGUAAAGAACUUGCCUCACAGCUAGGGACAACAUUUGUAAACGAAUGCUAAUACCUAAUAUUAUGAUAAUAGAGCAUCCUAUAAUUAUGAAAGCUAUAAGCGCUGUGAGAGAGCUUUGCGUCCCAUUAGCUAGUUGGAGAGGUAACGGCUCACCAAGGCGAUGAUGGGUAGCCGGCCUGAGAGGGUGAUCGGCCACAAGGGGACUGAGACACGGCCCUUACUCCUACGGGAGGCAACAGUGGGGAAUAUUGGACAAUGAACCAAGAGUCUGAUCCAGCAAUUCUGUGUGCACGAUGAAGUUUUUCGGAAAGUAAAGUGCUUUCAGUUGGGAAGAAAGAAAUGACGGUACCAACAGAAGAAGUGACGGCUAAAUACGUG